AUACGGAGGGCGCAAGCGUUGUUCGGAAUCAUUGGGCGUAAAGCGCGUGUAGGCGGCUUGGCAAGUCGGAUGUGAAAUCCCGGGGCUCAACCCCGGAACUGCACUCGAAACUGCCUAGCUGGAGUCCCGGAGAGGAGAGCGGAAUUCCCGGUGUAGAGGUGAAAUUCGUAGAUAUCGGGAGGAACACCAGCGGCGAAGGCGGCUCUCUGGACGGUGACUGACGCUGAGACGCGAAAGCGUGGGGAGCAAACAGGAUUAGAAACCCCGGUAGUCC
rnacentral:rRNA from 1 species